AGAGUUUGAUCCUGGCUCAGGAUGAACGCUAGCGGCAAGCCUAACACAUGCAAGUCGAACGGUAACUUUUGGUGCUUGCACCGAAAGACGAGUGGCGAACGGGUGCGUAACGCGUAUGCAAUCUACCUUUUACUAGGGUAUAGCCCGAAGAAAUUUGGAUUAAUCCCCUAUAAUAUCAUGAAUUCGCAUGAUUUUAUGAUUAAAGCUUCGGCGGUAAAAGAUGAGCAUGCGUCCUAUUAGUUAGUAGGUGAGGUAACGGCUCACCUAGACUACGAUAGGUAGGGGUCCUGAGAGGGAGAUCCCCCACACUGGUACUGAGACACGGACCAGACUCCUACGGGAGGCAGCAGUGAGGAAUAUUGGACAAUGGACGAAAGUCUGAUCCAGCUAUGCCGCGUGCAGGAUGACGGCCCUAUGGGUUGUAAACUGCUUUUAUACAGGAAGAAAAAAUCCGACGUGUCGGAUCUUGACGGUACUGUAAGAAUAAGGAUCGGCUAACUCCGUGCCAGCAGCCGCGGUAAUACGGAGGAUCCAAGCGUUAUCCGGAAUCAUUGGGUUUAAAGGGUCCGCAGGCGGUUUUUUAAGUCAGAGGUGAAAUCCUACAGCUCAACUGUAGAAUUGCCUUUGAUACUGAAAGACUUGAGUUAUUGUGAAGUGGUUAGAAUGUGUGGUGUAGCGGUGAAAUGCAUAGAUAUCACACAGAAUACCAAUUGCGAAGGCAGAUCACUAACAAUAUACUGACGCUCAGGGACGAAAGCGUGGGUAGCGAACAGGAUUAGAUACCCUGGUAGUCCACGCCGUAAACGAUGGAUACUAGCUGUAUGUCUGCCUCAGGUAGAUGUGUGGCCAAGCGAAAGUGAUAAGUAUCCCACCUGGGGAGUACGAUCGCAAGAUUGAAACUCAAAGGAAUUGACGGGGGCCCGCACAAGCGGUGGAGC
rnacentral:rRNA from 1 species